GGGGAAUAUUGGGCAAUGGCGGAAGGCUGGCCCAGGAACGGCCGCGGAAGGGAAGAAGGCUUUGGGUUGUUAACUUUCUUUUACCAGGGACGAAACUGUGACGUUACGGGAGGAAUACGCUCCGGCUACCUAGUUGCCAGCAGCCGCGGUAAUACGUAGGGAGCAAGCGUUAUCCGGAUUUACUGGGUGUAAAGGGCGCGUAGGCGGGAGUAUAAGUCAGAUGUGAAAUCUGGGGGCUCAACCCCCAAACUGCAUUUGAAACUGUAUUUCUUGAGUGAUGGAGAGGCAAGUGGAAUUCCUAGUGUAGCGGUGAAAUGCGUAGAUAUACGGAGGAACACCAGUGGCGAAGGCGGAUUGCUGGACGAUAACUGACGCUGAGGCGCGAAAGCGUGGGGAGCAAACA
rnacentral:rRNA from 1 species